GACGAACGCUGGCGGCGUGCUUAACACAUGCAAGUCGAACGGUAAGGCCCUUCGGGGUACACGAGUGGCGAACGGGUGAGUAACACGUGGGUGAUCUGCCCUGCACUUCAGGAUAAGCCUGGGAAACUGGGUCUAAUACCGGAUAGGACCACUGCCUGCAUGGGUGGUGGUGGAAAGCUUUUGCGGUGUGGGAUGGGCCCGCGGCCUAUCAGCUUGUUGGGGGGGUGAUGGCCUACCAAGGCGACGACGGGUAGCCGGCCUGAGAGGGUGACCGGCCACACUGGGACGGAGAUACGGCCCAGACUCCUACGGGAGGCAGCAGUGGGGAAUAUUGCACAAUGGGCGCAAGCCUGAUGCAGCGACGCCGCGUGAGGGAUGACGGCCUUCGGGUUGUAAACCUCUUUCAGCACCGACGAAGCGCAAGUGACGGUAGGUGCAGAAGAAGGACCGGCCAACUACGUGCCAGCAGCCGCCGUAA
rnacentral:rRNA from 1 species